rnacentral:sRNA from 1 species
UGAAUCUUCAAAUCUUGGUUUUGUAUUAGAAAAACAAUGAGAACUCUUUGGUUUUUGGCUCUGUGAUUGCUUCGCCUUAUUGGCAAUAUACGCUAUUCUGAAAUCAGAGUAUGAAAGAUAAACAAACUGUACUUUAUGAGAGCCCAAUCGAAUAGUUAUUUU